rnacentral:sRNA from 1 species
GCUGAAUGUGGUGGUGCAUGCCUGUAAUCCCAACGGCUCAGGAGGCUGAGGCAGGAGGAUCACAAUUUCGUGACCAGCCUCAACCUCUUAGUGAGGCUCUAAGAAACUUAGUGAGACCCUGUCUCCA